rnacentral:ncRNA from 1 species
GAGGACCGUAAUGCUCCGGUUUUUAUGUUUUUGGUUGGUAACUUAACAACUUAAUUCUGGUUGGUUUGGAUUAUUUAUUCUUAGUUUUGUAUGCAUUAUUUUAUUUUUCUAAAUGAGGUUGUUAUGCAACUUUUAAUUUUGGUUUUAUGUUGAUUGCAUGAUUCAGUUAAGGUUAAAAGGACUGGUAAAGUUUUGUGCCAGCAAUCGCGGUUAUACAAUAAGUUCAAAUAAUUCUUCUUUUUGGUUGUAUAUUAAUUUAAUUUUAUUGUUAAAUUUGUAUAUUUUUGGGUGAAAUUUAAAUUUUUAUUUAGCUUAUUUAUAUUAAUUAUAUUAAUACAUUUUUAUAAACUAGGAUUAGAUACCCUAUUAUUAAUGUUUAAAGAAUUUCUAUAAAAUUAAUAGGUAUGAUCUUUAAAUUAAAAGAAUUUGGCGGCAAAUUAGUCCUUUCAGAGGAACCUGUUUAUUAAUCGAUAGUCCACGAUUGGUUUAACUUUUAUUUUUGUUUAUAUACCUCUAUGAAGAAUGUAUUUAAAGGUUAUUUUCUAUUUUCUUUAAUUAGAUUAAUUUUAGGUCAAGGUGUAGCUAUAUAAAUGGUUAAAUGGGUUACAUUUAAAUUAUUAAUGGAUUUUUAUUUUAUAUUAUAAGAUGAAAUUGGAUUUGGAAGUAAUAUUAAAUAAAUUUUUAUUGUGACUUAGGCUCUAAUUUGUGUACACAUCGCCCGUCGCUCUCAUUUAAAGAUGAGAUAAGUCGUAACAAAGUAGGCUUACCGGAAGGUGAACCUUGAAUGU